AAAAAAGGGUUCUCGUUGGUGACCAGCGGAGGGAUCAUUACCGAGUACUAUAACUCAUAACCCUUUGUGAACCUUCAUACCUGUUGCUUCGGCGGCGCGCCUCCCGGGGCGUGCCCGCCGGCAUUAUCAGAAUCUCUGUUCGAACCCGACGAUACUUCUGAGUGUUCUAAGCGAACUGUUAAAACUUUCAACAACGGAUCUCUUGGCUCCAGCAUCGAUGAAGAACGCAGCGAAACGCGAUAUGUAAUGUGAAUUGCAGAAUUCAGUGAAUCAUCGAAUCUUUGAACGCACAUGGCGCCUUCCAGUAUCCUGGGAGGCAUGCCUGUCCGAGCGUCGUUUCAACCCUCGAGCCCCCGUGGCCCGGCGUUGGGGACCUGCCCAGGCAGUCCCCGAAAACCAGUGGCGGACCCGACGGGCCCUUCCUUUGCGUAGUAACAUCUGCCUCGCAUCGGGAGCCCCCGGGCUAUCCGGCCUCUAAACCCCCCUCAAGCCCGCUCCGGCGGCACCAAGGUUGACCUCGGAUCAGGUAGGAAUACCCGCUGAACUUAAGCAUAUCAAUAAGCGGAGGAA
rnacentral:rRNA from 1 species